GGAUUAGUUCAUUUAAUUAAGAAAAUUAGAGGUGUUGUUUCCCGAUUAGCGAUGGGGAAGCCUACAGGGAAGAAGACGACACAGGCAGAAGGGAAACCUGAGGGUGCAAAUGCGAAGAGCAAGCCGGGAGACCAGGGCACAAAAGCCUACGACGAGGACACGGCCGUCUUCAUCACUAUGUCUCAGGAGCUGAAGGAGGAAGGGAACAAGCUCUUUCAGAAGAGGGAUUGUGAAGGAGCAAU